rnacentral:rRNA from 1 species
AGUGAACGCUGGCGGCGUGCCUAAUACAUGCAAGUCGAACGAAGUGGCGCACGGGUGAGUAAUAUAUAGUUAAUCUGCCCUACACAGAGGAACAACAGUUGGAAACGACUGCUAAUUCCUCAUAGUGUAGGAUGAGACUAUAUCGUAUCAGCUAGUUGGUAAGGUAAUGGCGUACCAAGGCUAUGACGCGUAACAGGUGUGAGAGGAUGAUCAGUCACAUUGGAAGUGAGACACGGGCCAAGAUCCUACGGGAGGCGGCAGUAAGGAAUAGUGCGAAAUGGGGGGAACCGAGACGGAGCAAAGCCGCGUAAAGGAUGACAAUUUUCGGAGCGUAAACUCCUGUUAACAGGAAAGCGGUACCGGAUGAAUAAGCACCGGCUAACUCCGUGCCAGCAGCCGCGGUAAUUC